UUUUAAAUAAUCCCAUUUUUCUUGGACUCCAUUUAAAUUGCUCCAGUCUGAUAAUGACGCCUCUACCCAUAUUCUAAUUGGGUAGAGGCGUCAUUAUCAGACUGGAGCAAUUUAAAUGGAGUCCAAGAAAAAUGGGAUUAUUUAAAAG